rnacentral:rRNA from 1 species
CUAUCUUAGUGGCGGACGGGUGAGUAACGCGUGGGUAACCUGCCUUGCACUGGGGGAUAACACUUAGAAAUAGGUGCUAAUACCGCAUAACAGUAGGAGACGCAUGUCUUUUACUUGAAAAUUCCGGUGGUGUAAGAUGGACCCGCGUCUGAUUAGCUUGUUGGCGGGGUAACGGCCCACCAAGGCGACGAUCAGUAGCCGGCCUGAGAGGGUGAACGGCCACAUUGGGACUGAGACACGGCCCAAACUCCUACGGAAGGCAGCAG